rnacentral:rRNA from 1 species
UACUUAUUGUUCACUCUUUACUCGGAAUCACUGGGCGUAAAGGAUGCGUAGGCUGGAAAUCAAGUCGAGAGUGAAAUCCAACGGCUCAACCGUUGAACUGCUCUCGAAACUGGUUACCUAGAAUAUGGGAGAGGUAGAUGGAAUUAGUGGUGUAGGGGUAAAAUCCGUAGAUAUCACUAGGAAUACCGAUUGCGAAGGCGAUCUACUGGAACAUUAUUGACGCUGAGGCAUGAAAGCGUGGGGAGCAAACAGGAUUAGAUAACCCUGUAGUCC